CUUCACCGAACCCAGCCACAACGGCCCCUGCUCGGCGCGCUCCUGACCGUAGGUGGCGAGCAGGGCCUGCGCUUC
rfam:Streptomyces cellostaticus strain DSM 40189 genomic scaffold PRJNA299219_s075, whole genome shotgun sequence.